rnacentral:rRNA from 1 species
UCCUACGGGAGGCAGCAGCGGGGAAUAUUGCACAAUGGGCGCAAGCCUGAUGCAGCAACGCCGCUGAGGGACGAAGGCCUUCGGGUUGUAAACCUCUUUUAGUAGGGAAGAAGCGACUGGGUUUUCCUGGGAGUGACGGUACCUGCAGAAAAAGCACCGGCUAACUACGUGCCAGCAGCCGCGGUAAUGCGUAGGGUGCAAGCGUUGUCCGGAAUUAUUGGGCGUAAAGAGCACGUAGGCGGUUUGUCGCGUCUGCUGUGAAAACCCGAGGCUCAACCUCGGGCCUGCAGUGGGUACGGGCAGACUAGAGUGCGGUAGGGGAGAUUGGAAUUCCUGGUGUAGCGGUGGAAUGCGCAGAUAUCAGGAGGAACACCAAUGGCGAAGGCAGACCUCUGGGCCGUAACUGACGCUGAGGAGCGAAAGCAUGGGGAGCGAACAGGAUUAGAUACCCUGGUAGUCCAUGCCGUAAACGUUGGGAACUAGAUGUGGGGACCAUUCCACGGUCUCCGUGUCGCAGCUAACGCAUUAAGUUCCCCGCCUGGGGAGUACGGCCGCAAGGCUAAAACUCAAAGGAAUUGACGGGGGCCCGCACCAGCGGCGGAGCAUGCGGAUUAAUUCGAUGCAACGCGAAGAACCUUACCAAGGCUUGACAUAUACCGGAAACGGCUGGAAACAGUCGCCCCGCAAGGUCGGUAUACAGGUGGUGCAUGGUUGUCGUCAGCUCGUGUCUUGAGAUGUUGGGUUAAGUCCCGCAACGAGCGCAACCCUCGGCCUAUGUUGCCAGCACGUAAUGGUGGGAACUCAUGGGAUACUGCCGGGGUCAACUCGGAGGAAGGUGGGGAUGACGUCAAAUCAUCAUGCCCCUUAUGUCUUGGGCUUCACGCAUGCUACAAUGGCCGGUACAAAGGGCUGCGAUACCGCCAGGUGGAGCGAAUCCCAAAAAGCCGGUCUCAGUUCGGAUUGAGGUCUGCAACUCGACCUCAUGAAGUCGGAGUCGCUAGUAAUCGCAGAUCAGCAACGCUGCGGUGAAUACGUUCCCGGGCCUUGUACACACCGCC